rnacentral:rRNA from 1 species
UGGUGGGGGAUAACGUUCGGAAACGGACGCUAAUACCGCAUACGUCCUACGGGUAGAAAGCGGGGGACCUUCGGGCCUCGCGCCAUUAGAUGAGCCUAGGUCGGAUUAGCUAGCUGGUGAGGUAAUGGCUCACCAAGGCGACGAUCCGUAACUGGUCUGAGAGGAUGAUCAGUCACACUGGAACUGAGACUACGGUCCAGACUCCUACUGGGUAGGCAGCAGUGGGGAAUAUUGGACAAUGGGCGAAAGCCUGAUCCAGCCAUGCCGCGUGUGUGAAGAAGUCUUCGGAUUGUAAAGCACUUUAAGUUGGGCAGGAAGGGCAUUAACCUAAUACGUUAGUGUUUUGACGUUACCGACAGAAUA